rnacentral:rRNA from 1 species
AGUCGAGCGGAACGAGCUAUCUGAACCUUCGGGGAACGAUAACGGCGUCAGCGGCGGACGGGUGAGUAAUGCCUAGGAAAUUGCCCUGAUGUGGGGGAUAACCAUUGGAAACGAUGGCUAAUACCGCAUGAUGCCUACGGGCCAAAGAGGGGGACCUUCGGGCCUCUCGCGUCAGGAUAUGCCUAGGUGGGAUUAGCUAGUUGGUGAGGUAAGGGCUCACCAAGGCGACGAUCCCUAGCUGGUCUGAGAGGAUGAUCAGCCACACUGGAACUGAGACACGGUCCAGACUCCUACGGGAGGCAGCAGUGGGGAAUAUUGCACAAUAGGCGCAAGCCUGAUGCAGCCAUGCCGCGUGUGUGAAGAAGGCCUUCGGGUUGUAAAGCACUUUC